AAUAGAUACCCGGGUGGUCCACGCCGUAAACGAUGAGUGCUAAGUGUUAGGGGGUUUCCGCCCCUUAGUGCUGCAGCUAACGCAUUAAGCACUCCGCCUGGGGAGUACGGUCGCAAGACUGAAACUCAAAGGAAUUGACGGGGGCCCGCACAAGCGGUGGAGCAUGUGGUUUAAUUCGAAGCAACGCGAAGAACCUUACCAGGUCUUGACAUCCCAUUGACCGCUAUGGAGACAUAGUUUUCCCUUCGGGGACAGUGGUGACAGGUGGUGCAUGGUUGUCGUCAGCUCGUGUCGUGAGAUGUUGGGUUAAGUCCCGCAACGAGCGCAACCCUUGAUCUUAGUUGCCAUCAUUUAGUUGGGCACUCUAAGGUGACUGCCGGUGACAAACCGGAGGAAGGUGGGGAUGACGUCAAAUCAUCAUGCCCCUUAUGACCUGGGCUACACACGUGCUACAAUGGAUGGUACAAAGGGCUGCAAGACCGCGAGGUCAAGCCAAUCCCAUAAAACCAUUCUCAGUUCGGAUUGUAGGCUGCAACC
rnacentral:rRNA from 1 species